rnacentral:rRNA from 1 species
GACGAACGCUGGCGGCGUGCUUAACACAUGCAAGUCGAACGGUGAAGCGCCUUCCUUUUGGGUGGGUGGGGAUGAGUGGGGAACGGGAGAGUAACAGUUGAGUAACCUGCCCCCUGCUUCUGGAUAACCGCAUGAAAGUGUGGCUAAGACGGGAUAUUCUGGGUCUGGCGCAGGAUGGGUCUGGGAAAGAUAUUGGGUCGGUGGGGGAUGGGCUCGCGGCCUAUCUGGUUGUUGGGGUGGUGAGGGCCUACCAAGGGGAGGACGGGUAGCCGGCCUGGGAGGGUGGACGGUCGCACUGGGUCUGCGGCACCGCCCCGACUCCGACGGGAGGCAGCCUCGUAGGUUAGUGCACAGUGGGCGAUAUCCUGCUGCGGCGCCGCGGCGUGUGCGAUGGCGGCCUUCGGGUUGUGAACCUCUUUCGCCAGUGAAGCGGGCCUGCCUCGUUUGUGGGUGGGUUGACGGUAGCUGGAUAAGAAGCGCCGGCUAACUACGUG